rnacentral:rRNA from 1 species
GACGAACGCUGGCGGCGUGCCUAAUACAUGCAAGUUGAGCGCUGAAGGUUGGUACUUGUACCGACUGGAUGAGCAGCGAACGGGUGAGUAACGCGUGGGGAAUCUGCCUUUGAGCGGGGGACAACAUUUGGAAACGAAUGCUAAUACCGCAUAAAAACUUUAAACACAAGUUUUAAGUUUGAAAGAUGCAAUUGCAUCACUCAAAGAUGAUCCCGCGUUGUAUUAGCUAGUUGGUGAGGUAAAGGCUCACCAAGGCGAUGAUACAUAGCCGACCUGAGAGGGUGAUCGGCAAAAUUGGGAAUGAGACACGGCCCAAAAGCCUACGGGAGGCAGCAGUAGGGAAUCUUCGGAAAUGGACGAAAGUCUGACCGAGCAAAGCCGAGGGAGUGAAGAAGGUUUUCGGAUCGUAAAACUCUGUUGGUAGAGAAGAAAGUUGGUGAGAGUGGAAAGCUCAUAAAGUGACGGUAACUACCCAGAAAGGGACGGCUAACUACGUG